UCGAUUUUGUUCUAUCAUCCGUGUUCGUUGAGUAGUUUAAAUUAAGUUUCGAAAGCUAUGUAUUUUAUGCAUAUUAAUCCUUUGAUUUAUUUAGACAGAUGUGACGGAAAAAAUAAAAUGGUCAAAAGACCAAAUUGAAAAAUUGAUACAAUUGGUAGAAUCUAACGAAUGUAUUUAUAAUGUUAGAUCUUCGAUGUAUUUGGAUCGAAAUGCCAAAGCUCAGGCGUUCAACAAAAUAGUUCAAGAUGUAGAAAUGCCGAGUUUAAAUGAUUUUGAGGUAAAAAAAAAUGGAAAACCUUAAGGUCGCAAUAUUUGCGAGGAAUUCGCGAAUUCCGCACUUCCAAAAAAAGCGGAUCUGGGGUGGAUGACAUUUCUACACCAAAAUUGUGGUGCUUCUCCUAUUUAAAAUUUCUGGAGUCGUACACACAAGUAAGGAGCGGAGAAUCAAAUUGCGAGGAUCCUGGUUCGUAGAUGUUUAUUUCCGAAUUUAUUUCAUUGAGUCAAUUAAACGAUACACCAAGUACCCAAACGACUUCGGCAGAAGUUAUUGCUAUAACUAAUGAUAGCAGCUAUAGAAAAGAAGCAGGAAGAAAACGGGGAAAAGAAAAUGCAUUCCAAAUAGGGCCAUGUAGUUGGUUGGGGAAUUUAGUAACCACUAAAAUGGAGGAGAUAAUUCCCGAACUACAAGAAGAUGCUGCAUGGGAGGUACAGUGCCUUAUGCGACGAUUGGUACAACAAUCAAAGAGUGCUUCGUCAUCACGCGCCACUCCCUCUGAUAUUCUCCAGAAUGCCAUGAGUGGUGGUUUUGACGAAAGUGAUUUCGUCCUUUAAAAAAUGUGAUGAAUUAAAAUAGACUGAAAUGUUAAUUUU